CAAAAGCUUGGUCCUGACUUUACUGUCAGCUGUGGUGAGAUUUAUGCAUGCAAGUAUCCGCACCGCUGUGAGAAUGCCCUACAUAUUCCCCUCCCUGGAAAAAAGGAGCAGGUAUCAGGCAUAAUUUGUUAGCAGCCCAUAACGCCUUGCCACGCCACACCCCCACGGGAAUUCAGCAGUAAUAAACAUUAAGCAAUAAGUGUAAACUUGACUUAGUUAUAAUCAAGAGGGCCGGUCAACCUCGUGCCAGCCACCGCGGUUAUACGAGAAGCCCAAGAAGAUGUUGUACGGUGUAAAAAGUGGACACAUAAUAAGUAAUUAAAGCUAAAUAUCUUCUAUGCUGUCAUACGCCUAUGAAGUAAGAGGCCCUUUAACGAAAGUAGCUUUAAAGUUGCAUCCACUAAAGCUAAGAAACAAACUGGGAUUAGAUACCCCACUAUGCUUAGCCUUAAACAUAAGUAUCAUUUAACCUUAUUGCUUACCAGGGAACUAUGAGCCCCAGCUUAAAACCCAAAGGACUUGGCGGUGCCUAAGACCCCCCUAGAGGAGCCUGUUCUAUAAUCGAUACCCCACGUUAAACCUCACCCUUAAUUGCUUAUCCCGCCUAUAUACCGCCGUCGUCAGCUCACCCUAUGAAGGAGCAACAGUCAGCAUAGUUGGUAAAACCCAAAACGUCAGGUCAAGGUGUAGCAUAUGUAAGGGGAAGAAAUGGGCUACAUUUACUGAAACAGUAAAUACAGAUACUACUUUGAAAUAAGUAGCUUGAAGGAGGAUUUAGUAGUAAGAAAAAAAUAGAGUGUUUUUCUGAAACUGGCCCUUAAGCGCGCACACACCGCCCGUCACUCUCCCCAACACACCAGCACAAGCUAUAUAAAACUUUUUAUAAAAAAGAGGAGGCAAGUCGUAACAUGGUAAGUGUACUGGAAAGUGUACUUGGAACAU
rnacentral:ncRNA from 1 species